GAUGAAGAACGUAGCGAAAUGCGAUAAGUAAUGUGAAUUGCAGAAUUCAGUGAAUCAUCGAAUCUUUGAACGCACAUUGCGCCCCUUGUUAUUCCAUGGGGCAUGCCUGUUCGAGCGUCAUUUGUACCUUCAAGCUCUGCUUGGUGUUGGGUGUUUGUCUCGCCUCUGCGUGUAGACUCGCCUCAAAACAAUUGGCAGCCGGCGUAUUGAUUUCGGAGCGCAGUACAUCUCGCGCUUUGCACUCAUAACGACGACGUCCAAAAGUACAUUUUUACACUCUUGACCUCGGAUCAGGUAGGGAUACCCGCUGAACUUAAGCAUAUCAAUAAGCGGAGGA
rnacentral:misc_RNA from 1 species